rnacentral:rRNA from 1 species
UACGGAGGGUGCAAGCAUUAAUCGGAUUUAUUGGGCGUAAAGGGCGCGUAGGCGGACGAACAAGUCAGAUGUGAAAUUCCGGAGCUCAACUUCGGAGCUGCAUUUGAAACUGUUCAUCUAAGAGGUAUGAAGGAGAAAAUGGAAUUCCACGUGUAGCGGUGAAAUGCGUAGAUAUGUGGAAGAACACCGGUGGCGAAAGCGGUUUUCUAUUUAUUACCUGACGCUGAGGCGCGAGAGCAAGGGGAGCAAACAGG